CCUACGGGUGGCAGCAGUGAGGAAUAUUGGUCAAUGGCCGGAAGGCUGAACCAGCCAAGCCGCGUGAAGGAGGAAGGUACCGAGUAUUGUAAACUUCUUUUGUCAAGGGACAAAAUCAGGCUCGAGACCCUGGCCGAGGGUACUUGAAGAAAAAGCAUCGGCUAACUCCGUGCCAGCAGCCGCGGUAAUACGGAGGAUGCGAGCGUUAUCCGGAUUUAUUGGGUUUAAAGGGUGCGGAGGCGGGCUGUUAAGUCAGCGGUAAAAGCCCGGGGCGCAACCCCGGCGAGCCGUUGAAACUGGCUGUCUUGAGAUGUCGAGAGGUAUGCGGAAUGCGCGGUGUAGCGGUGAAAUGCUUAGAUAUUGCGCAGAACUCCGAUUGCGAAGGCAGCAUACCGGCGGCGCUCUGACGCUGAGGCACGAAAGCGUGGGUAUCGAACAGGAUUAGAUACCCGUGUAGUC
rnacentral:rRNA from 1 species